AGAGUUUGAUCCUGGCUCAAACGAACGCUGGCGGCGUGGAUAAGACAUGCAAGUCGAGCGAGAUUUUUUCCUGUAGCAAUACAGGGAAAAGUCUAGCGGCGAACGGGUGCUUAACACGUGGGCAACCUGCCGAGAAGUGGGGGAUAGCUCGCCGAAAGGCGAAUUAAUACCGCAUGUGAUUAGAGAGGACAUCCUUUCGAAAUUAAAGUCGGGGCAACCUGACGCUUUUUGUGGGGCCCGCGGCCUAUCAGCUAGUUGGUGAGGUAACGGCUCACCAAGGCUUUGACGGGUAGCUGGUCUGAGAGGACGACCAGCCACACUGGGACUGAGACACGGCCCAGACACCUACGGGUGGCAGCAGUCGAGAAUUUUUCUCAAUGGGGGAAACCCUGAAGGAGCGACGCCGCGUGGAGGAUGAAGGUCUUCGGAUUGUAAACUUCUGUCAUUGGGGAACAAGGUGCAUACGUUAACUGCGUGUGUAUUGAUAGUACCCGAAGAGGAAGAGACGGCUAACUCUGUGCCAGCAGCCGCGGUAAUACAGAGGUCUCAAGCGUUGUUCGGAUUCAUUGGGCGUAAAGGGUGCGUAGGCGGCGCGGUAAGUCGGGUGUGAAAUCUUGGAGCUUAACUCCGAAACUGCAUUCGAUACUGCCGUGCUUGAGGACUGGAGAGGAGACUGGAAUUUACGGUGUAGCGGUGAAAUGCGUAGAUAUCGUAAGGAAGACCAGUGGCGAAGGCGGGUCUCUGGACAGUUCCUGACGCUGAGCACGAAGGCCAGGGGAGCAAACGGGAUUAGAUACCCCGGUAGUCC
rnacentral:rRNA from 1 species